AACAGAAAAUUUGAAAUCAAUUUAAAUUUUGAUUGAAAAAAUGCUCAAUUAAAUUUAGUUUUGUUUUUGGUUUUUAAUGGCAAAAGUGUUAAUUCUUUCUGCGUGUGGCUUUUUUAGUUUUUGGAAAAUAAUGAAAAAUCUUGGAUGAUAAUAAUAAUUUCAAAGCAUUGGCUCCUGGCCAAAUUGGUAUUGAAUAGAAUGAAGUCAAAUUCCAUGGAAGAUCAUAAUUCAUUUGAAAACCCCAAUCAAAGUACAUUUUCUGAUUUGGAAC